rnacentral:rRNA from 1 species
AACGCGUGGGUAAUACCGCAUACGUUCUUUUGGGGGAGUCCCUGGAAGAGGAAAGCCAGCGGCAACGCUGGCGCACGGGGAGGGGUUCGCGGCCUAUCAGCUAGUUGGCGGGGUAAUGGCCCACCAAGGCGACGACGGGUAGCUGGUCUGAGAGGAUGGCCAGCCACAUUGGGACUGAGAGACGGCCCAGACUCCUACGGGAGGCAGCAGUGGGGAAUCUUGCGCAAUGGCCGAAAGGCUGACGCAGCGACGCCGCGUGUGGGAUGAAGCAUUUCGGUGUGUAAACCACUGUUGCCCGGGACGAACAGCCCUUUUCGAGGGGUCUGACGGUACCGGGUGAGGAAGCACCGGCUAACUCCGUGCCAGCAGCCGCGGUAAUACGGAGGGUGCGAGCGUUGUCCGGAAUCAUUAGGCGUAAAGGGCGCGUAGGUGGCCUGGUCAGUCAGUGGUGAAAGCGCGGGGCUCAACCCUGCGUCGGCCAUUGAUACUGCUGGGCUUGAGCACUGUAGAGGCAGGCGGAAUUCCGGGUGUAGCGGUGGAAUGCGUAGAGAUCCGGAAGAACACCGGUGGCGAAGGCGGCCUGCUGGGCAGUUGCUGACACUGAGGCGCGACAGCGUGGGGAGCAAACAGGAUUAGAUACCCUGGUAGUCCACGCCGUAAACGAUGGGCACUAGGCGCUUGGGGGAGCGACCCCCCGAGGGCCGGCGCUAACGCAUUAAGUGCCCCGCCUGG